rnacentral:lncRNA from 1 species
UGGGCAAAAGGAGUGGUGGUGGCGGCAGAGGAGAUAUCAAGGGUGACAGCGAUAGAGAAAAGGAAAAACAAAGAAACAUGAAAAAAAAAUGGGAGAAAGUAAAGAAGGAAAAGAAAUGAGUCGAAGAGGGGAGGGGGAGGUGGUGACAACUAGCCCUAAGUGUCACGGGGCUAGACCUUUCGUCUCGCAAUCCGUACGGCCUUAGAUGAUUCGUUUGUCCAAACUCGC